rnacentral:lncRNA from 1 species
GGGCCUCAAAAUAUCAAAUACCCCAACUACAACACUUCAAACACCCACAAUCAACACACAUUGACCAAAACAUCAAUAUUAACCCAUAACUCAACAUAUAACCUAACAUGCAUUUCUACCCAUAGAUCUAGCAUAAAACUUACUUAAAACAUAUAAGGAGCUUAAGAUCGGCCCUUACCUCUUGAAGAUCGAUAGGGAGACGACCUAAACUUGGAGAUUCACGAAAAUGAGCUCCUGAGUUCCCAAAGCUCCAAAACUUGGUUUAAAUGUUCAAAACUUGCAAUGUGAGUUUAAAACUCAAGAAAAAUGGAAGAGAUUUGGAGG